GAAAUCCGAUAAGUAAUGCGAAUUGCAGAUUUCAGCGAGUCAUCGAAUCUUUGAACGCACAUUGCACCCGGUGGUAUUCCGCCGGGUAUGCCUGUUCGAGCGUCAUUUCUACCCUCAGGCCCCCGCAAGGGAGCCUGGCGUUGGGGCCUGCGACCGCUGCACCGUCAGCGUCGCAGCCCUUAAAUACAGUGGCGCGUCUGCCGUGGUUCGCCCCCUGCGUAGUAAGAUUAACAUCCCUCGCACCGGGUCCCGGGAGGCGCUGCCUUGCCCUGCCGGCAGGGACCGCUAGCGGUCUCCGCCGGCGCCCACCAUCGUUAGUUGACCUCGAAUCAGGUAGGGUUACCCGCUGAACUUAA
rnacentral:misc_RNA from 1 species